GCCACAGCCACCCCCACCUCUGCAGAAGGCCCUCCAGCACUAGCAGGUGCGAUGGUGUACAGCAGAUCCUGGAGCGUAUUCAUCUUGCCUGACUGAAACUUUAUGCCUGUUGAUUAGAAACUGUCCAUAUUCCCCUCUCCUCAAGACCUGAACAAGUAUUAUCCUCCCUGCUAAGUGUUUUUUAUACAUUAUUUUAUUUCAUCUCACAAUAGUCCUGUAAGGGUCAAAGGAAUGCCAGUCUACUAGAAAAAAAGAAUGGAUUUUUUUUACUGGUCUCACCCAUGAUAAAGAUAUUUUGAUGAUGGAAGAUCUCCCCACUUUACUCUACCUUACUUGACCCCAGAUAUGAAUACCUCCAACUGAAACCUUGCUUCUUCAUUUUGCAAUAUGAAGAAAUGCUUGCUGGGGGAACUUUCUAGCCGGAUACCCUUGAAUGCACUUCCUGAUGAAGUGGGAGAUGUGCCAGCUGCCACUACAGAUGCUGAAAGAACUGGGAACAAGUGAAGCUGAUUGUAAUAAUAUGUUGCACAAGGCUGAAGGAGCUAUGGUGGUGGAGAGCCCCAGUUCAGUGGUAGGCACCUUCCAGCUAAACAAAGGCCAAGGAAAAAUUUGGCCCUUUGCUAUAGCAAAACUAUUAUGAUCUCUUGCUAGUAUGUUACAUGGAACAGGAGAGCUGCAGAAUAUCCCUUAAAAAGAAAAAGAAAUAGUAGCAUCGAAGGAAAUUGAAAGUUUCUUGUUCCUAGAGAUUAUGAUUGGCAAUAUAAGUAAGCUGUAUAGCUGUGACUUCAGAAACAGGGAGAAGGCUCUCAGCCAAGAAAUAUAUCACUUUAUUACUUGCAAAUGCUUUAAUUUCCAUUAUGACAGAUGUAUUUCUUUGAUCUGUUUUGUUCUGUUGUUAAAAUAAAAAUUCAGGCUGUAGUAAAUCAGCAUCAAGUCAUUUACACCUUCUUACGAAUUAACAUAUUAGAAUCUUAUCCCAGAGAUUUGUCAACACCUUCUAGUAACAAAAUGGGGGAGAAAGAAAAAUAAAAGCGUGCUCCAUGUCUGAGGGGAAUUUUAUAGCAUACAGGAACAGAUCACUUUAGACUUAAAAAUCAGAGAUUGAGAGCUAGGUUUCUGGAAAUAUGACAGGAAGAAGAAACAGAUGAGGAAGGCAAAGGCAAAGUUAAAUUUUAUUCCUUCAUUUGAAUGUUUUAGUUUCAGUAAAUUGAUUAAUUGAGCCAUUUGCAAAAAUGGGAUUUUUGAUGGCUAAGAUAUUCUUCAGGUCAAAGAUGAAGUCCUGAAAGCUAGCAUUGUUUUAUUCUUUUUAUUGUUUGUAACUGCCUUUUCACUGCCUAGAAAACCACCUGGAACACGGCAGAUAAUAAAUUUUUU